CCUACGGGAGGCAGCAGUGAGGAAUAUUGGUCAAUGGACGAGAGUCUGAACCAGCCAAGUAGCGUGAAGGAUGACUGCCCUAUGGGUUGUAAACUUCUUUUAUAUGGGAAUAAAAUGUUCCACGUGUGGGAUUUUGUAUGUACCAUAUGAAUAAGGAUCGGCUAACUCCGUGCCAGCAGCCGCGGUAAUACGGAGGAUCCGAGCGUUAUCCGGAUUUAUUGGGUUUAAAGGGAGCGUAGGUGGAUUGUUAAGUCAGUUGUGAAAGUUUGCGGCUCAACCGUAAAAAUGCAGUUGAAACUGGCAGUCUUGAGUACAGUAGGGGUGGGCGGAAUUCGUGGUGUAGCGGUGAAAUGCUUAGAUAUCACGAAGAACUCCGAUUGCGAAGGCAGUUCACUGGACUGCAACUGACACUGAGGCUCGAAAGUGUGGGUAUCAAACAGGAUUAGAUACCCCAGUAGUC
rnacentral:rRNA from 1 species